AAAGGAAAGGACAGGAAGACAACCUAUCUUCUUUUCGAUUUCCGGGCUCUUCUAGGAAUCCAAGCACUGUUGAUUUCACCCUCGGCAAUUUUUCGAAGCAUCCGCAGGGAGAGUUGUAAUCUCCGUUCUACGGGUGAAAGUUCUCCAAGCAUAUGAUUACAGUAACCUGUGCCUGUCGGAAAAGACCAGGACGCUGUCCUUAAGUUUUAAAUUCAGAUGCUAAAUUACCGCCCUUCCCAGCACACGCCCUCCAGAUGUGCGGGAUUGCAAUAAUUCCUAAUAGAUGCGCACAAUACGAGACUAGGGUGGAGGAUAAGAAUUGUCUUCCCAACACAUCUGGAGGGAAUGGAUUUGUAUGAGACUGAAACUAUGAUUGCCUGUAUGGCUGUUGGCUGUCCCAAGGUUUUGCAAGAAACUAUAAAUUGGAUAUAUUUGGAUGUUAUUUCUUUCCUGCGCUUUAAUAACAUUGCUUCUUCCCAAAGGCACAUUAGCAAAAUAAAAUAAAGACAAGGCAGAGGAACAAAAAACAUUGCUGAUGCAUGCUGGAAAAUUGGGAAAGUGUUUCAAGCCUUUUAUCAUUCUCUUGGUGGCUUCUACUACUCCAACUCCAUCAUUUACUGGCAGAAAAGAACACCUUGCUACAAGUUCUGAAAAAUCAUAGCGGGGUUUGGGGUGAACAGCAAGGUGCAGCAGUACCUCCACUGUAUUUGAACUGCUAAUAAUUUGUAAAGAGGGUGUAGGAAGCUGUUAACUCUUUUGCAUAUUCAAGCAAGUCUGUAGUGUAGAGUAUGCAUGAAGAAAUGACAUUCUUGUUGCUAGCCUGUCAGGCCUGGAAGCCAUCUUUUCAGUUGGGCCUUCAAGCCUGCCACAUUUACUACUGUGGGAAACUGGGAGGAGGGAUUGUAUGGAGCAUGGGUGAUAUAUAGUCAUAAUAACAUUCCUUUCUCAGAGAGUCAAGGACAUCUUGCCCUGUACCUAGGCAGCUGGAACUGGGAGGUAUCUCCAGUUGGGAUGGUGCUUUGAUUGGGCCAUGUGAUGGACGUGGGUGUUGGGCAGGGACUUGAACUUUUCUUUGGGUGGGGAAAACCUGGAAACUUUCAGAUUCGGGUUUUCCCAGAUGUGCCAAUAUUACAUCUCUAAUAAAAUUUAAC